rnacentral:ncRNA from 1 species
AGACCCCAGCUCAGGUGCGAACACACGUUGAGUUUAAGCAUAUAAUUAAGUGGAGUAAAAUAAACUUACAAGGAUUCCCCUAGUAAUGGUGAGCAAACCGGGAAGAUCCCAACAUGAAAAUCAGGUGGCAACGCUGCCUGAGUUGUAGUUUGUAUAAGCUUCCUUAGCAGUGGACUGGGCCCAAGUCGCCUGGAAGGGGGUGCCUAAGAGGGUGAUAGCCCCAUCGGGAUGGGACCCUGCCACACCAUGAGGUGUUGUCGAUGAGUUGGGUUGUUUGGGAGUGCAACCCUAAUCGGGUGGUAAAUUCCAUCCAAGGAUAAAUGUAGGCGAGAGACCGAUAACGAACAAGUACCAUGAGGGAAAGAUGAAAAGGACUUUGAAAAUAGAGUUAAAGAGUGCGUGAAAUUGUCGGGAAGGAAGCAGAUGGAGGCCGACGAUGUGUCUCAGUCAGAUGCAGAACAAAUCAAGCUGGUUCGCCGCUCAACUCGAGAUGAAAACCAGCACAGGCCGUUGCAUCGACAUAAGCCCAGGUGGAGUACCGCCAGUUGGUUUGUCGUUGUGGAAGUCGAGGAGCUGAGAAAUCAAGGGAUUCUACCAACACUCAUUUAAAUUUAUUUUUAAUCCCUUGCCAAUACUUCUUUUAGUUUGUUGAUAUUGAGCUCACACAUGAGGUAGUUUAUAUCUAUGAGGAUUUAGGAUCAAUUUUUCAAGCCUAAAUUUUAUGUGUAAAUAUUUAUGAAGGUAUUGGAUCCCUUAAUGACUUAUUAGUACUAUUGACGAGUUGAAUAAGUUUUGAAAUCACCAAGAAACCAUGCAGGAAAAUCAAUCUUGCAUAGAAUAAGAGUUUAAUUUUUUUUUAUGAGUUUAAAAGUUAGUAAUUGAACCUUCAUCAUUGAAGUAAGAAAAUAAAGGUGUCAAUUUUUUUGUAUAUUUGGAUAAUUUAGCCAAGAAAAGGAAACUUUCUGGGUUGGGAGGCCAAUGAGUCUCCAAACCUAGUGAAUAAACCUUCUUGAGCCUUAAGGUAUAUGAUUUAACCCCCAAAAUAAAAAUCACUUAUUCAAUGAGGUUACUUGUUGUCCAAACCAACCAAUUGAGGUUAUUGACCCUUGCACUCAACAAAUUUCCUCCUUGGGGUAAAUCACUCACUUGUCCUUAUUUGUCCUUAUGACCUCUCUUGGGC